rnacentral:lncRNA from 1 species
CAAAAGGUCAAAUUGGAAACAUUUGGAUGAAAUAGGGGGAGACUUCACUCUCAAAUUUGAAAAACUGAAAUUCAGCAACUUGAGCCCUUCUAAAACUAAUUUUAAGAUAAGUAUCAAUAGGCUCAUACUCAAUAUUUUGUAAUCAUCAAAAAGGGAGAGAUUGAGGAUGAUAGUGGUAUUUUGAUGAUUAAUACAAUGAUUAAGAGUAUGCUACAAGUUAAUUCGAUACAUCAUUAAUAAGUCUGUCACUCUCGAUACAUUAGU